rnacentral:lncRNA from 1 species
UGGAAUCUGGGAGGAAGCGUGAGUCAUUAGCCUGCUAAGGGAGUCCUGUGUGGCCACCUUCGCCUGGCCCAGGAGGCCUGGAUUGCAGCGCCAGCCAUCAAGGCCUCACCAGGCCAGGCUAGGCCAGGCCCCAAUCGACACGCCUGCUGUCCAGGCUGACACAGGCUCCAGGAAUGCAAACAGAGCUGGGUGGAGGGACCUCCUGAGGGCCAGGGUGCUGGGCCAGGCAGGAGGCGGCAGGCCUGUGGGAGAGGCCUGCACAGGGGCCUUGGGCCUUGGACAAUGUCAUGUUGUUGCCACCCCGGCUGCCUGAUAAGGCUCCUGCCUCCUGAUGUGAGGAGAGCCGGAGCUGCCAGCUCUGGUCUUCAGGAUUUUCUGGGAAGGAAGUUCCCCGGAUCAGAGAUUCUCAAAGCUGAUCCCUGAGCCAGCAUCAUCCGUGACACCUGAGAAAGGAUCAGAAGCCCUGAUGUCCUGGGAAAAGCAGAGGCUGGCCAUACAUGCCUCAGUGGUAGCACACGUGCCUGGAUAUUGGCUCUAACGGAGUUGGAGCCUAGUACCUUAGCAAGUAGUUAUAUGCAAUGCUCACUUUGGGGGACAACAAUGCUUAAUAAGUCACCUUCUGUCUUGUUAGGGUUUUAGCGUUGUGAAGAGACACAUGGUGCUGGAGAUGGAGCUGAGAGUUCUGCAUCUUGACCUACAGGCAGCCAUGAGGAGACUGGCUCAGCACUGGGCAUAUCUGGAGCGUAUAUAUGAGACCUCAAGCCCACCCACGGUGACACUUCCUCCAACAAGGCCAUACUUUCUAAUAGUGCCAUUCCUUAUGGUAAUGUAUAUUCUGCGCCAUAUGUUCAAAGUAUGUGGUCUGUUUUUUUAUUUUUAUUUUCUAGGGGAUUACAGUUAAGAGAUUGCCUAAGUCUCAGUAGAGAUUUGAACUUUAGAUUUUUUUAAA